ensembl:lncRNA
UCCUCCCUCUCCCUCUCCCCUCUCCCUCUCCCCUCUCACCCCUCUCCCCUCUCACUCUCUCCCUCUCUCCCCUCUCGCUCUCCCUCUCUCUCCCUCUCCCUCUCUCCUCUCCCUCUCCCUCUCCCUCUCUUCCCUCUCCCUCUCCCUCUCCCUCUCCCCUCUCCCCUCUCUCCCCUCUCCCUCUUCCCCCUCCCCUCUCUCCCUCUCCCUCCUCUCCCUCUCCCUCUCCCUCUCCCCUCUCCCUCUCCCUCCUCUCCCUCUCCCUCUCCGCUCUCCCUCUCUCCCUUCUCCCUCUCCCUCUCUCCCCCUCUCCGCUCUCCCUCUCCCCCUCUCCUCUCGCUCUCCCUCUCUCCUCUCCCUCUCCCUCUCUUCCCUCUCCUUCUCCCUCUCCUCUCCCUCUCUCCCUCUCCUCUCCCCUCUCCCUCCUCCUCUCCCUCUCUCCCUCUCUCCUCUCCUCUCCCUCUCCCCCUCUCCCUCUCCCCCUCCCUCUCCCCUCCCCCUCUCCCUCUCCCUCUCCGCCCUCUCCCUCUCUCCAUCUCCCUCUCCCUCUGCCCUCUCCCUCUCCCUCUCUCCCUCUCCCUCUCUCCCUCUCCCUCUCCCUCUCCCUCUCCUCUCCCUCGUCCCUCUCCCUCUCCCCUCUCUCCCUCGUCCCUCUCCUUCUCCCUCUCCCCCUCCCUCUAUCCCUCUCCCUCCCCCUCUCCUCCCUCUCCCUCCCCCUCUCCCUCUCCACCUCUCCCUCUCCCUCCCCCUCUCCCUCUCCCUCCUCUCCCUCCCCCUCUCCACCUCUCCCUCCCCCUCUCCACCUCUCCCUCUCCCCCUCCCCUCUCUCCCUCCCCUCUCUCCCGCUCCCUCCUCCCUCUCCCUCUCCCUCUCCCUCUCCUCCCUCUCCCCCUCUCCCUCUCCCCCCUCUUCCUCUCUCCCUCUCCCUCUCCUUCUCCCUCUCCCCCUCCCCCUCUCUCCCUCCCCCCCUCCCCCUCCCCCUCUCCCCCUCCCCCUCUCCCCUCUCAUCCCUCUCCCCCCUCCCCCUCUCCCUCUCCUCCCUCUCCCCCUCUCCACCUCUCCCUCCCCCUCUCCCCUCUCUCCCUCUCCCUCUCCCUCUAUCCCUCUCCCCCUCUCCCCUCUCUCCCCCUCUCCCUCUCCCCUCUCUCCCUCGCCCUCUCCCCUCUCUCCCGCUCCCUCUCCCCCUCUCCCUCCUCCCUCUCCCCCUCUCCUCUCCCUCCUCUCCCCCUCUCCCUCUCCUCUCCCCCUCUCCCUCUCCCUCGCCCUCUCCCCCUCCCCCGCUCCCUCUCCUUCUCCCUCUCCUCUCCCCCCUCCCCCGCUCCCUCUCCCGCUCCCUCUCUCCCUCUCCACCUCUCCCUCCCCCUCUCCCCUCUCUCCUUCUCCCUCUCCCCUCUCUCCUCUCCCUCCCCCUCUCCCUCUCCCCCCUCUUCCCUCUCCCUCGCUCCCUCUCCCUCUCCCCUCCCCCUCUCCUCCCUCUCCCUCUCCCUCUCCCUCUCCCUCUCCUUCUCCCUCUCCUUCUCCCUCUCCCUCUUCCCUACUUGCACACUCUCUGUCUCAAAAAAGGAUAAGAAAGAAAAAGGAAAUGAAAGAAAGAAGGAAAGAAUAAAUGCGCAUGAAAAGCUAGCAAUCUUUGCCACUGUCAAUUAAAUAUUUUGACAUCAUACUUUUCAAGAGUCAGACACUUAACCAACUGAGCCGCCCAGGUGCCUCUAAGUUAUAUUUUUGUGACCAGAAGUUUUGUAGACCUUGCUUUCUUGUCAGAUGAAUAUUGCUGUGGAAAACUCUGAGGCCUCUCUGAUCCCCCACUCCCUUACUUUUUCUGCCAGGAUGAAUAAAAAUUAUCUUUUAGUCUUUGGAAUUAAAUAACCUGGCCAGAAUUAACUAUAUGUUGAUAA